AUUGAACGCUAGCGGCAGGCCUAACACAUGCAAGUCGAGGGGUAGCAGGAUUAAGCUUGCUUAAUUGCUGACGACCGGCGCACGGGUGCGUAACGCGUUUGCAACCUACCUUAUACUGGGGUAUAGCCCGGAGAAAUUCGGAUUAAUCCCCCAUAGUACUAAUGAAUCGCAUGGUUUAUUAGUUAAAGCAUUGCGGUAUAAGAUGGGCAUGCGUCCUAUUAGCUAGAUGGUGAGGUAACGGCUCACCAUGGCUACGAUAGGUAGGGGGCCUGGGAGGGUGGUCCCCCAGACUGGUACGGGGCAACGGACCCGACUCCUACGGGAGGCAGCAGUGAGGAAUNNUGGUCAAUGGGCGCAAGCCUGAACCAGCCAUGCCGCGUGCAGGAAGAAUGCCCUAUGGGUUGUAAACUGCUUUUAUUUGGGAAUAAACCUCUUUACGUNUAGAGAGCUGAAGGUACCAAAUGAAUAAGCACCGGCUAACUCCGUGCCAGCCGCCGCAGUAACA
rnacentral:rRNA from 1 species